AACGAACGCUGGCGGCAUGCCUAACACAUGCAAGUCGAACGAAACCUUCGGGUCUAGUGUCGCACGGGUUCGUAACCCGUGGGAACCUGCACUUAUGUUCGGCAUACCUCCCCGAAAGGGAUACUAAUACCGGAUCAUGUCUUCUACCCAAAGAUUUAUCGCCUUUGGAUGGGCCCGCGUUGGAUUAGCUAGUUGGUAGGGUAAAAGCCUACCAAGGCGACGAUCCAUAGCUGGUCUGAGAGGAUGAUCAGCCACACUGGGACUGAGACACGGCCCAGACUCCUACGGGAGGCAGCAGUGGGGAAUAUUGGACAAUGGGCGAAAGCCUGAUCCAGCAAUGCCGCGUGAGUGAUGAAGGCCUUAGGGUUGUAAAGCUCUUUUACCCGGGAUGAUAAUGACAGUACCGGGAGAAUAAGCGCCGGCUAACUCCGUG
rnacentral:rRNA from 1 species